AUUGAACGCUGCGGCAGGCUUAACACAUGCAAGUCGAGCGAGCGGCGGACGGGGGAGUAAUGCUUAGGAAUCUGCCUCUUCGUGGGGGACAGCAUCUCGAAAGGGAUGCUAAUACCACAUACUACUAGAUGAGCAUAAGUCGGAUUAGCUAGGUGGUGGGGUAAAGGCCUACCAAGGCGACGAUCUCUAGCGGGUCUGAGAGGAUGAUCAGCCACACUGGGACUGGAAUACUGCCCCGACGCCUACGGGAGGUCAGAGUGGGGAAUUUUGGACAAUGGGGGGAACCCUGAACCGGCCAUGCCGCGGUUGUUAAGAAGGCCUUAUGGUUGUAAAGCACUUUCAGCUAGGAGGCGUUACCCGAAGAAGAAGCACCGGCUAACUCCGUGCCAGCCGCCGCGGUAAUUC
rnacentral:rRNA from 1 species